rnacentral:misc_RNA from 1 species
GAUGAAGAACGCAGCGAAAUGCGAUAAGUAAUGUGAAUUGCAGAAUUCAGUGAAUCAUCGAAUCUUUGAACGCACAUUGCGCCCGCCAGUAUUCUGGCGGGCAUGCCUGUUCGAGCGUCAUUUCAACCAUCAAGCCCCAGGCUUGUGUUGGGGUCCUGCGGCUGCCGCAGGCCCUGAAAAACAGUGGCGGGCUCGCUGUCACACCGAGCGUACUAAUACAUCUCGCUUUGGACGUGCGGCGGGUUCUUGCCGUUAAACACCCCCCUUCUCAAGGUUGACCUCGGAUCAGGUAGGAAUACCCGCUGAACUUAAGCAUAUCAAUAAGCGGAGGA